rnacentral:rRNA from 1 species
CCUAACACAUGCAAGUCGAACGGUAACAGGAAGAAGCUUGCUUCUUUGCUGACGAGUGGCGGACGGGUGAGUAAUGUCUGGGAAACUGCCUGAUGGAGGGGGAUAACUACUGGAAACGGUAGCUAAUACCGCAUAACGUCGCAAGACCAAAGAGGGGGACCUUCGGGCCUCUUGCCAUCGGAUGUGCCCAGAUGGGAUUAGCUAGUAGGUGGGGUAACGGCUCACCUAGGCGACGAUCCCUAGCUGGUCUGAGAGGAUGACCAGCCACACUGGAACUGAGACACGGUCCAGACUCCUACGGGAGGCAGCAGUGGGGAAUAUUGCACAAUGGGCGCAAGCCUGAUGCAGCCAUGCCGCGUGUAUGAAGAAGGCCUUCGGGUUGUAAAGUACUUUCAGCGGGGAGGAAGGGAGUAAAGUUAAUACCUUUGCUCAUUGACGUUACCCGCAGAAGAAGCACCGGCUAACUCCGUGCCAGCAGCC